CAUGGUGUUGUGCUUAGUGCUAUUUUUAAACUUGUCAACAUAUUCAUCCGAAACAUCGAACACGUACGCGGUUACAAUUGUUUAGAAAUUCUUGACGCGGUGCUCAGUACUAUUCUUUGACGAUGGUUCCUGCCGCCCAUUACGUUAUAUUAUCUCUCCUUUUCGAGCUCGCAUCGUCUGUCCCCUGUGGACAGAAUUUUUUCUGUCCCAACCAAUAACAUCCGAACACACCACCCUCUCCCUCUUUUGUUCGAAACUGACGGAGUCUAGACCUAACGACAGUCUGGGAUUCCAGAAAAUUAUCAAAUUCAAUUCACCCGCUUUUUUUCAUUCCCUUUCCAUUCUCUUUUCCUCCCUAGUCCCUCCCCACCGUUUCUUCACUCUCAUCGCCACACAACGAAUAUCUACCGCCGUCCGAGAUGCCUCUGCAACCCUCGCGGCUGUAACUUUUUCAUUCCCUCUCUUCUCUUCUCCUCCCUCAACCGUCGGCGACGGCAAGGUUCCUUCAUUAUUCUACGUCAUGGGAGAGGCUUCUACUUCAUUGUUUCAGGGCGUUAAUACUCUGCUUGACUUAUCUAAUGUUGUAUCUGAAUCCUGUACCCGCCUUUAAGAUAACAACAGAUUCUGGAAACGGAAACGGAUUUUCCUAUUGCCUUAGUGUUAUGCUAAGCAGGCACUUGGGGAAGUAAACCCAGAGCUUCUUGACACUCAGGUCAACCCGGCUGUGUGGAAAAUCAAUGGCCACAUGGUGUUAAAAAGGAAACAAAACUUGGAGGCUCCUUGCAGAGGCCUCCCUCUCUGAAGGGAGGGAGGUGAUGGCUCUGAUUUUUGAACCCGUUGCUUGCAAUGUCGAUGCAAAUGGAAGCAUUGCUCAAAGCAUUGGAGAGAAAGCAGCUGAUGGGAAUCAAGGAAUCAACACAACGAUGACUCAUGGGAAGCAGGAAUGCCUUGUCCAGUAUUAGUUGAUGUGUGCAAAGAACUGGGUGAUUGUGGUAGAUGUAUCGUGGUCAUUCCUGGUGGUAACCUAAAUAAAGGAAACCGUGUUUGCUUUUCGCCAUUGUCAUUGUUGUUCCGAUGUCUUGUCUUGGUAAUCAGAUGUCUUCUAUGCACAUCGGUUUAUGCAUACUGUAUUGUACUAGUUCUAGAUGAAUUUCCCUGUACUUGAGCCUUGAGGAUAGUUCUAUGGUUAUUUAUAUGGCUCUUUCUCCUGUAAAAAUUAAUGGAUUAUAUAUUUUCCAUUGGAA